rnacentral:rRNA from 1 species
UACGGCCACAUCACGUUCAAACACCGGUUCCUGUACGAUCACCGAAGUUAAGCAACGUCGAGCUUAGUCAGUACCUAGAUGGGUGACCGCUUGGAAAUACCAGGUGG